UAAAAAAUGAACGCAAUAAAUAACUAUAUCAUAAUUGCAGAAAAGGCUGUUCACUGUGUAUGAUCCUCCGGAGAGCUCCAGAGUCCAGAUCCAAGAGCUUAUGCAUGGCCUCCAUGUGCAAUGGCAUGGCCCAGGAUUUGUCCAACUUCUCCAGAACGAACUUAUCUUUCCAGAACAUGCUUUCAUUUGAGUAAAUCCUAGUUACAAUCACCGUCAAGUUUCCCCAAUAUCUGAUCCUUAAGCCUGACGAUGUUGGGGAAACUUGACGGUGAUU
rnacentral:misc_RNA from 1 species